rnacentral:rRNA from 1 species
GGUUGCGAUCAUACCAGCACUAAUGCACCGGAUCCCAUCAGAACUCCGCAGUUAAGCGUUUUUGGGCGAGAGUAGUACUAGGAUGGGUGACCCCUGGGAAGUCCUCGUGUUGCAACCC